rnacentral:rRNA from 1 species
UUUCCUACGGGAGGCAGCAGUGAGGAAUAUUGGUCAAUGGCCGAGAGGCUGAACCAGCCAAGUCGCGUGAGGGAAGACGGCCCUACGGGUUGUAAACCUCUUUUGUCGGGGAGCAAAGCGAGUCACGUGUGACUCAUUGAGAGUACCCGAAGAAAAAGCAUCGGCUAACUCCGUGCCAGCAGCCGCGGUAAUACGGAGGAUGCGAGCGUUAUCCGGAUUUAUUGGGUUUAAAGGGUGCGUAGGCGGUCCGUUAAGUCAGCGGUAAAAUUGCGGGGCUCAACCCCGUCGAGCCGUUGAAACUGGCA